CACUCCUACGGGAGGCAGCAGUGGGGAAUUUUGGACAAUGGGCGAAAGCCUGAUCCAGCAAUGCCGCGUGAGUGAAGAAGGCCUUCGGGUUGUAAAGCUCUUUUGUCAGGGAAGAAACGGUGAAAGCUAAUAUCUUUUGCUAAUGACGGUACCUGAAGAAUAAGCACCGGCUAACUACGUGCCAGCAGCCGCGGUAAUACGUAGGGUGCAAGCGUUAAUCGGAAUUACUGGGCGUAAAGCGUGCGCAGGCGGUUUUGUAAGUCUGAUGUGAAAUCCCCGGGCUCAACCUGGGAAUUGCAUUGGAGACUGCAAGGCUAGAAUCUGGCAGAGGGGGGUAGAAUUCCACGUGUAGCAGUGAAAUGCGUAGAUAUGUGGAGGAACACCGAUGGCGAAGGCAGCCCCCUGGGUCAAGAUUGACGCUCAUGCACGAAAGCGUGGGGAGCAAACAGGAUUAGAUACCCGUGUAGUCCCAUGAU
rnacentral:rRNA from 1 species